AGCGAACGCUGGCGGCAGGCCUAACACAUGCAAGUCGAACGAAGUCUUCGGACUUAGUGGCGGACGGGUGAGUAACACGUGGGAACGUGCCUUUAGGUUCGGAAUAACUCAGGGAAACUUGUGCUAAUACCGAAUGUGCCCUUCGGGGGAAAGAUUUAUCGCCUUUAAAGCGGCCCGCGUCUGAUUAGCUAGUUGGUGAGGUAAUGGCUCACCAAGGCGACGAUCAGUAGCUGGUCUGAGAGGAUGACCAGCCACAUUGGGACUGAGACACGGCCCAAACUCCUACGGGAGGCAGCAGUGGGGAAUCUUGCGCAAUGGGCGAAAGCCUGACGCAGCCAUGCCGCGUGGAUGAUGAAGGUCUUAGGAUUGUAAAAUCCUUUCACCGGUGAAGAUAAUGACUGUAGCCGGAGAAGAAGCCCCGGCUAACUUCGUGCCAGCCGCCGCAGUAACAC
rnacentral:rRNA from 1 species